CCUACGGGAGGCAGCAGUGAGGAAUAUUGGUCAAUGGACGAGAGUCUGAACCAGCCAAGUAGCGUGAAGGAUGACUGCCCUAUGGGUUGUAAACUUCUUUUAUAUGGGAAUAAAAUGUUCCACGUGUGGGAUUUUGUAUGUACCAUAUGAAUAAGGAUCGUCUAACUCCGUACCAGCAGCCGCGGUAAUACGGAGGAUCCGGUCGUUAUCCGGCUUUCUUGGGUUUAAAGGGAGCGUAGUGGGAUUUUUAAGUCAGUUGUGAAAGUUUGCGGCUCAACCGUAAAAUUGCAGUUGAAACUGGCAGUCUUGAGUACAGUAGAGGUGGGCGGAAUUCGUGGUGUAGCGGUGAAAUGCUUAGAUAUCACGAAGAACUCCGAUUGCGAAGGCAGUUCACUGGACUGCAACUGACACUGAGGCUCGAAAGUGUGGGUAUCAAACAGGAUUAGAUACCCCGGUAGUC
rnacentral:rRNA from 1 species